GAGAAAGUAAAGAAGAGAGAUGCGGAAGAAAUUACUAGUGAGCCAGACAAGAGAGAAAAGAGAAAUACACAUUAUCAGCAUGAGAAGCUCUCAUGUUGGUGGAAAGCACAACGCCAAAAUCCGGUGAAGCAUUACCUACCUCUCACCUCUAUCAGCUGGAAUCUCACAGAUAAGAAAAUCUUUUCAUUUCAUCUUCAUAUCUCUUUAUGGCUAAUUUUCUUAAAGUAAAUAUACAUUUGGUUAUAUAACCAUUAUCAUUAUUAUUGACAGAAAAAUCUAACAGCCACUCUGAAUUCCAACUUGCUGACCUCGAAUUGAGAUACUUCCUUCUUGAAAGUUGUUCGUCCUCCCAGUACCUAUAACAUAUGUGUUUCUAUUAUUGCAGAUGUUUGAAACACUAACCCAGUUUCCAAUUCCGCAGAAAACUGGACAACCAUCUUAUGAGUACCAAAACUCCUUUUUCAAUAGUUCAGAUCGAAAUUGUUUCUUCGCAAAAGUUGUUCAGUAUCCUUCUAUCCAUAUCAUAUUAAAAUUUGAGCCAAAUCUCACGAUUUGAUCUUCUCAUAAGUUGCAGGCACUACUCUUGACUCCAAAACUUAUAGGAACUGUUUUUAUUUUUUCGAAAUUCAUCAGAGGAGGAACACCAAUGAAGACUUAUUGUUACUAUUACUUCCUGAGUAACUAAAAGGACUUAGAGUUGUGAAAAUAAAAAAAAUAAAAGGGACGAACCAAAAGAAAGUGGAAGACAAAGAAAAAGAAAAAGAUGGGGACUUAAUCAUUGCCUUUUUUGUUUUGCCAUAUUUAUGUGAAUGGUGCUGCUUUAAAGUCCUAUCACAAGUUCUAUUUAUUUACAGUGGGUGAAAUUAUUACCCCUUGCUUUAAAGCUUUGAUAUUUAUGUCAAUGGUGAUGAAUUAAAACCCUUGUCACAAGCUUUAUUUACUUAAAAAUAAUUUAUUUA